UACAGAGGUCUCAAGCGUUGUUCGGAUUCAUUGGGCGUAAAGGGUGCGUAGGUGGCGUGGUAAGUCGGGUGUGAAAUUUCGGAGCUUAACUCCGAAACUGCAUUCGAUACUGCGGUGCUUGAGGACUGGGGAGGAGACUGGAAUUCAUGGUGUAGCAGUGAAAUGCGUAGAUAUCGUAAGGAAGACCAGUGGCGAAGGCGAGUCUCUGGACAGCAACUGACGCUGAGGCACGAAGGCCAGGGGAGCAAACGGG
rnacentral:rRNA from 1 species